AUUGAACGCUGGCGGCAGGCCUAACACAUGCCAGUCGAGCGGAUGAAGGGAGCUUGCUCCUGGAUUCAGCGGCGGACGGGUGAGUAAUGCCUAGGAAUUUGCCUGGUAGUGGGGGAUAACGUCCGGAAACGGGCGCUAAUACCGCAUACGUCCUGAGGGAGAAAGUGGGGGAUCUUCGGACCUCACGCUAUCAGAUGAGCCUAGGUCGGAUUAGCUAGUUGGUGGGGUAAAGGCCUACCAAGGCGACGAUCCGUAACUGGUCUGAGAGGAUGAUCAGUCACACUGGAACUGAGACACGGUCCAGACUCCUACGGGAGGCAGCAGUGGGGAAUAUUGGACAAUGGGCGAAAGCCUGAUCCAGCCAUGCCGCGUGUGUGAAGAAGGUCUUCGGAUUGUAAAGCACUUUAAGUUGGGAGGAAGGGCAGUAAGUUAAUACCUUGCUGUUUUGACGUUACCAACAGAAUAAGCACCGGCUAACUUCGUG
rnacentral:rRNA from 1 species